ACACCCCUCAUAUCUUCAUCCAUCUUCAACCUUCAAGCACAUAAACACUAGCAUUCAUAACCGCUUCAAAGAUGAUUUAAGAUGGUUCAAGCCUUGGAAGCAUACUAGGGAACUUAUACUUGUUCUUGGAAGCUUCAACAUCUUCUAGUUUUCUUUAUCAUCUUCAUUUUCAUCUUCCCUAGCCUAAGUGCUAGUUAUACUCGCUAAUUACGACCUCUCCGCUUGGGACUGCAACGAUUACAACACCGUCGCCUCCACCAAUCUCAAUCACGAUCGACCAAUUUCAGUAUAACAUCAUCAAAUGGAGAAGAAUCAAUGGAACCAAUUUCAGGAGGAGCACAAAGGUUUAAAAAAAGGAUUUAGUUGAAAAAUACAAAGAAAAAAAGGAAAUUGUAAACAAUACCGGAAAAGAGCCAAAGAAGAAAACAAGUAAUAAGACCCGUAUAAGGUGUAGGCUAGAUUUGUUUCGUGAAGUUUUGAAGAAAACACUAGAAGAUCAGCAUAAAAAAGAUGUAAUUUUAAAAACCCCUUUUGCAAAGCUUAUAGAAUUACCCAAGUCUAUAAGCUUAGAAAGAGAUAUUGUCAAGUCAAUAGUUAGGAAUUUCAAUUGGGAAGAAAUGACCCUAACUAUACAUAAAGAGGGUAAUACCCAUGUCUUCCCUAUUACAAUUAACGAUUUUUAUGAGAUAAUGGGUAUACGAGAUGGAAAUGUCUCAUCAUCAUCAACUAAAGAGAAUGUCUCAUCAUCAUCAACUAAAGAAGUGGAUGCCGAUCUUCUCAAGAAAUAUUGCAACUUGGAAAAAAAAAUGACAAAUACAAGAAUAUCAAUAUUAAGACGGUUCAUGAGUAACUCGAGAAAAGUAACUUGAGAAAACUGAUGAUGGCGAUGUUAUUAGGCAAACUUUUGUCUUAAUAGCAUUGCACUAUAUUGUUUGUCCUGCUUCGGGGGGUAUAUUGGGUAAAAAGUAUUUGUCGUAUGUGGAGAAUGCAAAUAAACUUCAUGAGCAACCGUGGGCAACUCUUGCUCUUGAAAGUCUCAAGAAUGGCAUUCAAAUAUUUAUUAAAGGGGAUGGGAUUGAGAAGAAUCUAGGUGGGUGUGUCCUCUUUUUACAGUUAUACUGUAUGAAUAAGAGAAUGGAAGCGCUGAACAUUUCAGAGAUCAAUAUCAAUGACGAUAUGACUAGAGAGUUCUGCAAUGGUUGGAUGAUUUACCAUGCUCCCGAGAGGAAGAGAAAGAAAAACUUGGCAGAAAAGAUUUGCAAAGACCUGAAACAUAUAUCUCAUCUUAUCAAGGCUGAACCAGAAAAUGUAGAGCUGGGGUUACUUUUGGAGCUUGAUAAAUUGAACGAGAAAUUUAAGAGUUCGGUUUCUUCUAAGAGUUCAAUUUCUUCUCAUGCUUGGAAUAUUGGGGAAGCUUCUACAAGUGCUACUGGGGAAGCUUUUACAAGUGGUGGAUGGGGUGAUGUAGUCCUUUUAGAUACUGAUUUUCAGAUGCUUGAGCCUAAACAGUGGUUGAAUGAUACGCAUAUGGACUUUUACCUUAAUAUUUAGGGCGGAAUGCAUCUCCAAAAAUUGGAGCAAUAAGUGAUUAUCACUUAGGGAGCAUGUUUUUUUUACUUGAAGCUGAAAGAUGUUCUAUCACCGAAGGGAAUUGCUGAAAACUCGUUUGACAAGUUAAAAAGGUGUUGGCGUGGAGACAAUAUAUUUCAGAAAGAAUAUAUUGUUAUCCCAAUUAGUGAAAGUUCCCAUUGGAGUGUGGUUAUUGUGUGUUUGCUUAACAAAACCGUCAAAUCAAAUCUACUUAUACUUCAUUUGGAUUCAUUACCUGGUAUCCAUGAUACAGCUCAAAAUUUUCAAAAUGUUCGAAGGUUCAUGGAGAAAGAAGAAGUGAAUCAUGGAGUCGCUAAAGUUGAAGAAGUCAGCAUCAAGGUUCCAAAACAAGCAAAUUCUUCUGAUUGUGGUUUAUAUGCUCUUCCGUUUAUUUAGCACUUCAUUAACCACGCCCCAAAGAGAAAAACUAAAAACGAAUUUGAAAAAAUGUUUAAGAUGGAGUGCUUUGAAACUAAAGAAAUUGAUGGUUUGAGAAGUAGAUUGAAAAGCUUAAUCAUGAAAGAAAGAGAGGAGCAGAAGAUGAAAAAAAGAGAGGAGCAGAAGAAGCUGUUGGAGAAACCGAUCGCUGUGAAGAAGAAGCCGCAGCAGGCACCGUUGAAAUAUUAUAGUAGUAGGAAAGCAAAUACAGUAGCAGGUCAAUCUGGGGAACAUGGGGAGCAACACCGCUUUAAAGAACUAGGAGCAGGUGAUGAUAAUACAAACCGAAAUAUGCUCGUUUGAGUUGCGGUGAACCUAAGUUUGAUGAUAAUACAAACCAGAUAAUCUGACCCGUCUGUCGGCUGACGAGCAUAUACAAACCGAAAAACAGGACCGGUAACUCAACCCGUUUACCAAAAUAUGCUCGUUUGAUGAUAAUACAAACAAAUAAUCUGACCCGUCUGUCGACAGAAGAGCAUAUACAAACCGAAAAAACAGGACCGCUAACUCAACCCGUUUACCGAAAUAUGCUCACCCGAAAUAUGCUCGCCCGGAUUGAUGAUAAUACAGGAGCAAGUGGUGAAGAUACAGGCGCAGCAGGUCAUACAUGCGCAGCAGGUGAUGAUGCAGCUUUGAUAGGAGCAGAUGCAACUGUGAUAGGAGCAGAUGCAGCUGUGAUACCAAAAAAAAAGAGGCGGAAGGUAAGUCAAAAAACAGAAUUCCGCCGACUUGAUUUCAAUCCUGGUUCAAGUAUUAUUGCUAACCAAAGCAAGAAGGUUUUAAGAUCGAAGAAAACAAUAUAGUCGGUUUGUUUAAGUUUUACAUACUAAUAUUCUGAUGGAAUUUUAAGCAGUGAACAUUUUGAUUGGAUUCUAAUAUUCUGAAGUUACCAGGGUUAA